AUUGAACGCUGGCGGCAGGCCUAACACAUGCAAGUCGAACGGUAACAGGAAGAAGCUUGCUUCUUUGCUGACGAGUGGCGGACGGGUGAGUAAUGUCUGGGAAACUGCCUGAUGGAGGGGGAUAACUACUGGAAACGGUAGCUAAUACCGCAUAAUGUCGCAAGACCAAAGAGGGGGACCUUCGGGCCUCUUGCCAUCGGAUGUGCCCAGAUGGGAUUAGCUAGUAGGUGGGGUAACGGCUCACCUAGGCGACGAUCCCUAGCUGGUCUGAGAGGAUGACCAGCCACACUGGAACUGAGACACGGUCCAGACUCCUACGGGAGGCAGCAGUGGGGAAUAUUGCACAAUGGGCGCAAGCCUGAUGCAGCCAUGCCGCGUGUAUGAAGAAGGCCUUCGGGUUGUAAAGUACUUUCAGCGGGGAGGAAGGGAGUAAAGUUAAUACCUUUGCUCAUUGACGUUACCCGCAGAAGAAGCACCGGCUAACUCCGUGCCAGCAGCCGCGGUAAUACGGAGGGUGCAAGCGUUAAUCGGAAUUACUGGGCGUAAAGCGCACGCAGGCGGUUUGUUAAGUCAGAUGUGAAAUCCCCCGGGCUCAACCUGGGAACUGCAUCUGAUACUGGCAAGCUUGAGUCUCGUAGAGGGGGGUAGAAUUCCAGGUGUAGCGGUGAAAUGCGUAGAGAUCUGGAGGAAUACCGGUGGCGAAGGCGGCCCCCUGGACGAAGACUGACGCUCAGGUGCGAAAGCGUGGGGAGCAAACAAGAUUAGAUACCCUGGUAGUCCACGCCGUAAACGAUGUCGACUUGGAGGUUGUGCCCUCGAGGCGUGGCUUCCGGAGCUAACGCGUUAAGUCGACCGCCUGGGGAGUACGGCCGCAAGGUUAAAACUCAAAUGAAUUGACGGGGGCCCGCACAAGCGGUGGAGCAUGUGGUUUAAUUCGAUGCAACGCGAAGAACCUUACCUGGUCUUGUCAUCCACAGAACUUUCCAGAGAUGGAUUGGUGCCUUCGGGAACUGUGAGACAGGUGCUGCAUGGCUGUCGUCAGCUCGUGUUGUGAAAUGUUGGGUUAAGUCCCGCAACGAGCGCAACCCUUAUCCUUUGUUGCCAGCGGUCCGGCCGGGAACUCAAAGGAGACUGCCAGUGAUAAACUGGAGGAAGGUGGGGAGGACGUCAAGUCAUCAUGGCCCUUACGACCAGGGCUACACACGUGCUACAAUGGCGCAUACAAAGAGAAGCGACCUCGCGAGAGCAAGCGGACCUCAUAAAGUGCGUCGUAGUCCGGAUUGGAGUCUGCAACUCGACUCCACGAAGUCGGAAUCGCUAGUAAUCGUGGAUCAGAAUGCCACGGUGAAUAAAAUCCCGGGCCUUGCACU
rnacentral:rRNA from 1 species